rnacentral:rRNA from 1 species
GAUGAACGCUGGCGGCGUGCCUAAUACAUGCAAGUCGAGCGAACAGACGAGGAGCUUGCUCCUCUGACGUUAGCGGCGGACGGGUGAGUAACACGUGGAUAACCUCCCUAUAAGACUGGGAUAACUUCGGGAAACCGUAGCUAAUACCUGCUAAUAUCUUGAACCGCAUGGUUCAAUUGUGAAAGACAGUUUUGCUGUCACUUAUUGAUGGAUCCGCGCCGCAUUAGCUAGUUGGUCAGGUAACGGCUUACCAAGGCGACGAUGCGUAGCCGACCUGAGAGGGUGAUCGGCCACACUGGAACUGAGACACGGUCCAGACUCCUACGGGAGGCAGCAGUAGGGAAUCUUCCGCAAUGGGCGAAAGCCUGACGGAGCAACGCCGCGUGAGUGAUGAAGGUCUUCGGAUCGUAAAGCUCUGUUAUUAGGGAAGAACAAAUGUGUAAGUAACUAGGCACGUCUUGACGGUACCUAAUCAGAAAGCCACGGCUAACUACGUG